rnacentral:rRNA from 1 species
AGAGUUCGAUUAUGGCUCAGGAUGAACGCUAGCUACAGGCUUAACACAUGCAAGUCGAGGGGCAGCAUGAUUGAAGCUUGCUUCAAUCGAUGGCGACCGGCGCACGGGUGAGUAACACGUAUCCAACCUGCCGAUAACUCGGGGAUAGCCUUUCGAAAGAAAGAUUAAUACCCGAUAGUAUAGUAUUUCCGCAUGGUUUCACUAUUAAAGAAUUUCGGUUAUCGAUGGGGAUGCGUUCCAUUAGAUAGUUGGCGGGGUAACGGCCCACCAAGUCAACGAUGGAUAGGGGUUCUGAGAGGAAGGUCCCCCACAUUGGAACUGAGACACGGUCCAA